AAAUUACCCAAUCCUAAUACAGGGAGGUAGUGACAAGAAAUAACAAUACAGGACUUUUUGGUUUUGUAAUUGGAAUGAGUUAAGUAUAAACCCCUUUACAAGUAUCAAUUGAAGGGCAAGUCUGGUGCCAGCAGCCGCGGUAAUUCCAGCUCCAAUAGCGUAUAUUAAAGUUGUUGCAGUUAAAAAGCUCGUAGUUGGAUUUCUGUUAAUAAUUUAUAUAAAAUAUUUUGAUGAAUAUUUAUAUAAUAUUAACAUAAUUCAUAUUACUAUAUAUUUUAGUAUAUGAAAUUUUACUUUGAGAAAAUUAGAGUGCUUAAAGCAGGCAUAUGCCUUGAAUACUCCAGCAUGGAAUAAUAUAAAAGAUUUUUAUCUUUUUUAUUGGUUCUAAGAUAAAAAUAAUGAUUAAUAGGG
rnacentral:rRNA from 1 species